GAUGAACGCUGGCGGCGUGCUUAACACAUGCAAGUCGAACGAAGCACUUUAUUACGAUUUCUUCGGAAUGACGAUUUGGUGACUGAGUGGCGGACGGGUGAGUAACGCGUGGGUAACCUGCCUUAUACAGGGGGAUAACAGUUGGAAACGGCUGCUAAUACCGCAUAAGCGCACAGGGUCGCAUGACCUGGUGUGAAAAAACUCCGGUGGUAUGAGAUGGACCCGCGUUGGAUUAGCUGGUUGGUGAGGUAACGGCCACCAAGGCGACGAUCCAUAGCCGACCUGACGAGGGUGACCGGCACAUUGGGACUGAGACACGGCCCAAACUCCACGGAGGCAGCAGUGGGGAAUAUUGCACAAUGGGCGAAAGCCUGAUGCAGCGACGCCGCGUGAGCGAAGAAGUAUUCGGUAUGUAAAGCUCUAUCAGCAGGGAAG
rnacentral:rRNA from 1 species